UUGGAACCAGUGUCAGACCUGGAGGAGGAGCCAGACCCAGUAACAGUACAAAGUAAAACAGUUAAAGCAGCAGAGCUGGAUGUGAGGAUGAGGCGCUCUUUGCUCUGCGUGCUGGAGUUAUUCUGGCUCAGCACACUCUUCUAUGGAAAUGCUGAAGUACAGGACAAGCCCGUACUAACAGCAGACAGUACAACUAUACCAGCAGGGGGCAGUGUGACACUGACCUGUGAUGUGAAGGAAUCUGCUGACUUAAAAUAUGAGUGGUUCAGACAAACGUCAUCUGAAGAAAAGUCCAUAAUAACUGAUGAAUCAGGCAGAACGAUCUCUGUGUCUGAAGGAGGCACGUACACCUGCAGGGCUGAAGGGAAAAUUAUCAUCAUUACAGAAAGUGACUCAGUCACAGUUAAGAAAACUGGUGAGUUUAAACAUUUCACUUGAACUAAAAAAAAAUUCUGUUAUUAUUAUUAUUGUUUUUGUUGUAUUUGAGGUAUUUUUAAAGACAAAUCAGCAUUUAUUCACAUAAUUAUGAUAAAACCUGCUGCUGGAAACAACUUUUUGUAUUAUCUUUUUUUUGUUCCCUGUUUUGUUUUUGUUGUUUCUUUUUUUAACAAUAUUUGUUGAACAGUCUUAGCUGCUGUGAAACUGCAGCCCAUGUGAGUUUAUCUACAAUUCAAACUGAAGUUUCCUGUUUUCAUUUAUACGUCUGUUUAAACAGAACAUCAGGAAACAAUUAUCUUAAUUAAUUUCAAUUAAGACCCUCUAAAACCUC
ensembl:lncRNA